UAAAUUGGGUAAUGUACAGGUGUCACGCGGGUGAGGCAAGAUGUUUGUAAGAUCCCGUGGAGAAAGAUUCAGCCAUUCGUACAUGACUCACGUUCUUUCUCACUGCCGAACGACAAAAUAUCCUCCUAUACAUUGCCUUCUUGAGGAGAUCUUCCAGAACUGAUACUCGCCCAAGAAUACUUUGAUAGCAACCGAACUUCUUAUUAAUGAACUUACGUAUAUAAAAACAAAUCAAAUUUGUAAUCGACUAUCAAAUGUUUGAAAAGAAACAAAACUUUUUUAUAUUUUAGUGGAAUCAAUCCUAAAUUAACAUUAACGUCAUGAUCCUCUAAAAAAUACAAACCUCUUUGGAUGUUUUAAAUUUAUUCUCCACAUAGCUAUUUAAUAUUCACAAAUUGUUACCUUAAAAAAUUAUAAUUGUCUGCAAUAAAAUGGAAGUGAUAAUCACGUGAAUAAUAGAACUUGAAAGGCUGCAGGAAGCUGAAAUCAUGCUUGAUUAAGAUAACCAAAUCAAAUUACUAAUGUAAAGAGGCACACUAAAUUCCUAUAAAAGUGAAUAGCUGGAUUAUUACAAGAUCUAUAUAUAGUCUUAUGAAUCAGUUAUUUUAUUAUUAUAGUUAAAGAUCUAUAGUCUUAUGAAUUAAUACAAGAAAUAAAAAAUUAUACACUAUUUUAAAUAUAUAUAUUUUAUAUUUUUUUGGAAAUUCGUUACAUUUUUUGGAAAAUUCAAAAUUUAGAAAAAAUUGUUUGAUCACAUUAUUAACAUAGUUCAUUUGGUUUUCAAAAUAUCGACAUAUAUAGAUUCAAACAAACAUGUAUAUCUAUAAAGAAUAAUCGUUACUAUUAGGUUUUAAUGUUGCUUAGCUAACUUAAAAUUUUUUAUUAAUAAUAGAUUCGCAGUUUUUCACCGUUUCAAUUUAUAAUUUGAGAAACUAAAAGAAGAAGAUAAUGUUAUUGGAUUCAAUAAAUUAGCGUACAAAAACAAUUAUAUAUUUAAUGUGUUAAAUAUAAGCAACAACUGUUUUAAAUAAUAAUUCAAUAUAUAACUACUAAAAUUAAAGUAGACAAAUAAUAAAUGAUUAAAUUUUCGUGAUUUUUAAUGAUGAAAUAAAUAUAUGAUAUGUAAAAAGAAAAAUAAAAUAAAAAUUUAAAAGUUAUUAUUAUUUUUAAUUGAAUAUAAAAUAAAUAUUUAAGAUUCGCAGGAAAACAUAUUUCUUAACUAUAUUCAAAAACACAUAAAAAGAACAAAUUAGAUGGUAUUAAAUACUUCACGAAGAAAAAAAAGGCGACGGCGAUGGCGAUUUGUAACUAGGGUUUUGAUGUUCGAUCGAGAUGGGAAAUCAUGGGAUCCGGGGGCUAAGAGGAUAUUCAGGAUUCGAGGAGGAUCAUAUGGAGUUGGGAAAUCAUGGGGAUUGAGCGACGAUUCACGAAUCGAAAUCAAAAUAAAGAUUUCGAAGAGAUCUCAAUGGAAACGAUUUUGGAAGGGAGAUACGAUUGGGUUUUUUAGGAACUGGUUUUAUUUCAGAUUUUCGGAGUGGAUGCGGAAUCCAGAGGAUCGAACAAAAGAUCCCAGAGGAUCUCAUUUGGUGUUUUGGGAUAUCGGAACAUAUUCUCUAAUGAUUGUUCAAAGAUAUGUCGAAUCAAUUAUAGGGGAUUUGCUAAUAAUGUAUUAGGAUUAUGGAGUAAUGAGUUGAGCUCUGCGUGUCAGUAUAUAAGGAACUGGGAUUUAGUCUUCAGAAGCAUCAUAGUUUCUUGGAUCCAAUUUACAGGAUAAGGUCGAACUGAAAAUAAUAUAUAUACUUGAAGGGGGGCAAGAUUAUAUUAUUAUUUUCAUAUUAAAGGUGUUCACUAUGACGGUUAUUUUUGGACGUUUGGUGGCUUAUUGUUUUUUUCUUGGAGGUUGGGACUUCAGAGUAUCAUCAAACUCAAAUUCGCUUGCUCUUGGGAGUAUUAUUUAUAUUGUUAAAUGAGAGUGCUUAGUUGGAAUUGUAAAGGUAUGGGAAGUAAGUGGACUAUGAGCUAUUUAAGGGAAAUAUGAUAUAAACAUAAACCAGAUUUUUUGUUUUUAUCUGAAACAAAACAGGAAACAGAAUUUGUUCAAGCUUUUCAAGCACAUAUUAGAUUUGAUAACUUGUUCACGGUUGAUCCAGUGGGAAGGAGUGGUGGUUUAGCGCUUUUUUACAACAAUGAAUCUCAGGCACAAGUAUUAUAUUCUAGUAAUAGAAUGAUAGAUGUGGAAGCAGUGACUAAUGGAAAGACGGUCUAUCUUACGUUUGUGUAUGGUGAUCCUGUCCCAAAGUUAAGGGAACAAGUAUGGGAACGUUUGACAAGAUAUGGGCUCGUGCGUUCGGAACCCUGGUUCAUUAUUGGGGAUUUAAAUGAGAUUACGGGAAAUCAUGAAAAGGAUGGAGGAUCUCUGAGGAGUGCAGAUUCUUUUAUUCCUUUUAAUAAUAUGAUAAGGAAUACUGGCUUAUUGGAAUUUCCGGCUCGGAGAAAUAAAAUGUCUUGGCAAGGGAGAAGGGGGAAAGGAAAAGGGGCUUUUACGGUAAGAUGUCGUCUAGAUCGAGCUUUAGCGAAUGAAGAGUGACAUACUCUGUUCCCAUGUUCUUAUACAGAAUAUUUAGGGUUAGUGGCUUCUGAUCAUCGUCCAAUAGUGGCUUAUCUGGAUGAUAAAGUCACUAGGAGAAAAAGACAAAUUUCGUUUUGAUAAACGAUGGAUUGGACAAGAAGGUCUUUUGGAAUCAAUUACAACGGGCUGGUCAGUUUAUAGUGCAAGAGGGGCAAAUGGGAUCGUGGAAAAAAUUAGUAAUUGUAGACACGAAAUUGCUAAAUGGCGGAAAAAUAAUCCUCCUUAUGGGAAGGAUAAAAUUUCUGAGUUACAAAAAGCUCUCGAAGAGGUACAAACAGAUAAUUCUAGGUCUCAGGAAGAUAUUUUCGAGGUCUCAAAGAAGUUACAAGAUGCAUAUAAAGAUGAAGAAGAGUAUUGGCACCAGAAAAGUAGGAAUACGUGGUACACAUCUGGGGAUCUCAAUACAAAAUUCUAUCAUGCUCUGACCAAGCAACGACGGGUACGAAAUCGGAUAGUAGGUUUAUAUGAUGCUUUGGGAAAUUGGAUUACGGAAGAUAUGGGUGUGGAAAAGUAGCAGUGGGCUAUUUCGAAGAGCUUUUUACUACUACUUCUCCAACGGAGUUUGAUGACUUUCUCACAGAGGUAUCACCGGGUAUUACUCCACAGAUGAACCAAUGUCUGCUGCGGGUAGCGUCAAAGAACGAGGUCAAAGAAGCCCUGUUUAUGAUGCAUCCAGAAAAGGCACCAGGACCGGAUGGGAUGACAGCUCUUUUCUUUCAACACUCCUGGCAUAUUAUUAAGAAGGAUUUGGUGGAUAUGGUGAAUAAUUUUUUGGUCACUGGAAAUUUGGAUCCGAAAUUAAAUAUUACUAAUAUUUGUAUGAUUCCAAAAACGGAGAGGCCUACAAGAAUGACCGAAUUACGGCCGAUUAGUCUGUGUAAUGUUGGGUACAAGAUUAUUUCGAAGGUUCCGUGUCAGAGAUUGAAGAUAUGUUUACCUUCUCUCAUCUCAGAAACCCAGUCGGCUUUUGUGCCAGGAAGGUUAAUAUCUGAUAAUAUUCUUAUUGCUCAGGAAAUGUUUCAUGGAUUACGGACGAAUAAGGCGUGCAGGGGAAAAUAUAUGGCAAUUAAAACGGAUAUGAGUAAAGCUUAUGAUAGAGUGGAAUGGGAUUUUAUAAAGGCUCUCCUACAGAAGAUGGGAUUUGAUCUUCAUUGGAUUACAUUAAUGAUGGAAUGUAUAUCAUCGGUUCAAUAUCGGGUCCUCCUUAAUGGACAACCCCGGGGUCUUAUCAUCCCACAGAGGGGUUUACGACAAGGAGAUCCUUUAUCACCUUAUUUAUUUAUUCUGUGUACUGAGGCUUUGAUUCCAAACAUUAAAAAGGCGGAAAGAGGAAAACUUUUAACGGGAAUGAAGGUAGUUCGAGCAUGUCCAUCGAUAUCUCAUUUGCUUUUUGCGGAUGAUAGUCUUUUUUCUGUAAAGCUAUAAAAGAGGAAUGCCAUACUAUCCUUAGGAUCUUAAAGGAAUAUGAGGUUGUAUCUGGUCAGCUUAUAAAUUUUGACAAGUCUUCUAUCCAGUUUGGGCACAAUAUUGAGGAAUCAGCUAGACAGGAGUUACGAGAUAUACUGGGAAUCCAGAAUCUUGGAGGUAUGGGAUCUUAUCUAGGCCUUCCAGAAAAUUUGGGAGGAUCCAAGAUACAAGUUUUUAGCUUUGUGCAGGAUCGGCUAAAUAAUAGAGUUAAUGGAUGGACUUUUAAGUUUUUCACAAAGGGUGGAAAGGAGGUGAUUAUUAAAUCUGUAGUGACGGCAUUACCAAACCAUGUGAUGUCCUGCUACCGGCUACCUAAGGCAACAACUAAAAAACUGACGACUGCGGUCGCACAAUUUUGGUGGAGUCCAGGGGGAAGGACAAGGGGUAUGCACUGGAAAUCAUGGGAUAAAGUGUGUCUUGAUAAGGAAGAUGGGGGGCUAGGUUUUAAGGAUAUUACGGAUUUUAAUACAGCAAUGCUUGGUAAACAGCUGUGGCGUCUGAUCGAGAAGCCAAAUACUUUAUUUUCGCGGGUUUUCAAGGGACGGUAUUACAGGAAUGCAUCACCCCUGGACCCGAUUCGCUCAUAUUCUCCGUCAUAUGGCUGGCGGAGUAUCGUUUCUGCUAGAUCUCUGGUAAGCAAAGGACUAAUCAAAAGGGUGGGAUCAGAAUCAUCUAUAUCUGUAUGGAAUGAUCCAUGGCUCCCAACCACUCGCCCGAGACCAGCAAAUAAAAAUCAACAUAUUUUCGACCCAAAUGUUACAGUGGAUUCUCUUAUUGACUCUACUUCGCGGACAUGGAACUCGCAUGCACUCAGGACAUUGAUGGACCCCCAAGAUGUGAAAAUUAUAGAAAGUAUACCACUGAGUAAAUCUCAGAUGGUGGACAGGGAUGGAUGACAUUUCACAAACAAUGGGAGGUAUACGGUUAAAUCAGGAUACCAGGUUGAACGGAUUUAUCCAGAUAGGGAGAGACCACCGUUACUGUUUGGACUCACAGUUGAUGCUUUGAAGGCUUUCUGCUGGAAAAUACGGUGCCCCCCCAAGUUAAAACAUUUUCUAUGGCAAUUGGUUACAGGUUGUAUAGCAGUCAAAAAGAAUCUGAAAGCGAGAGGAAUACAAGGAGACAUAUGUUGUGCCCGUUGCGGAGCGAAUGAGGAAUCAAUCAACCAUGUGUUUUUUGAAUGUCCUCCAGCACUUCAGGUUUGGCCUCUCUCCAAUAUACCAUCGAAUCCAACUAUGUUCCCAACGACCUCUCUGUUUACAAAUAUGGAUCACCUCUUCUGGAGAGUCUCUCCACCGAUGGAGGAUCAUCAAUUUGCAUGGAUUCUUUGGUAUAUUUGGAAAGGAAGAAACAAUAAAGUUUUUAGCAAUUUGGACAUGGAACCAAUGGACACCCUCAAAUUGGCAGAAACAGAGUCAAGACUUUGGGCUGAUGCACAGGUAUUGCCCGAGACCAGGAUAGCGUCCCAAGUUGAGGUCACGACUCCCCCAUCAAUUCCAGGGAGAUGGUGUUUUACAGAUGGAUCCUGGAAAGAGAAUGAUACUUUCUCUGGGCAAGGUUGGCUGAGUACUCUAGAAGGUUUUAAUGGGUUGUUAGGCGCAAGGAAUGUUCGAGCUUGUCUAUCCCCUUUACAUGCAGAGAUGGAAGCACUAAUUUGGGCAAUGGAAUGUAUGAAAAACUUACGGUAAUUUCAGGUUACAUUUGCAACGGAUUGUUCUCAGUUGGUGAAGAUGGUUUCAGAACCAGAAGAAUGGCCAGCAUUUGCAAGCUAUUUGGAAGAUAUUAAAUCCCUGAAAGAAGUUUUCACACGUUCGGAGAUUAUCUAUGUACCAAGAACGCAAAAUUCAAGAGCGGAUAGCCUAGCACGCAGUGUCAGGAAGCAACCGUCGUUUGUCGUUCACAUGGAUCAAGAUCUACCGGAGUGGUUCACAGAGUCAAUAUGAGUCUGUAUUUGAUGACCAAAAAAAAAAAAAAAAUACUUUAGUCAACAACUACAACUCAAACGAAA